UCUUUAUUGAUUAUUUUUUCUUUAUAAUUUAAAUAUUAGUUAAUUUAUUAUUUUUAGGAAAAAUUUUUUUUAAAUUAUAGUUUAUAAUUACUGUGAAGGAAAUCUGAAAUAUGUUUAUUGAUCAACUAAGAAGAAUUGAUUUUUUGUACCUUGGGUAUCAGGGUUUAUUAAUAAAAUUUUAAUUAUUUAUUAUUCCCGAAUUAAAAAGAGCUAGUAAAUUAUUUAUUUUAAUGUUUAAUAAUUAUUUAUAAUUUUUUACUUGAAGUGAUAUGUUAUUCGUUUUUUAAGAUAUCUGGUUCUUUAAGAAAAAAAUUUAAUUUUGCUAAUUAUUUUUAUAAUUAUUAUAUUGGAUGUUAAUUUAGUAAUAAAGUAAGGGAUAAGCUUUACUUUAAAUUUUUAUAAUUUAUAGAUGUUUUUAGUUUUGUAGAAUUAGUAUUGUUUUUCAUUUUAUUAUGUUAUAAUUUUUCUAAAAAAUUUAAUAUUUAUAUGUAUUUUAAAUUAUUUAUUAAAGAGAUUAAUGUAAUUUUUUAUUUAUGUUAUUAUGAUAAAAUUAGUAAAUUUAUUAUGUUAGUUUAAUUUUAAGUUCAAGUUUAUUUUAAGGAAUUAGGCAAUUUAUUUUUUCACCUGUUUAAUAAAAACAUGUCCUUAUGAUAAAAAUUUAAGGUCUAAUCUGCCCAAUGAUAAUUUAAAUGGCCGCGAUAUUUUGAUCGUGCUAAGGUAGCAUAAUCAUUAGUUUUUUAAUUGAAAGCUGGUAUGAAGGAUUGAAUGAGAAAAAUACUGUCUCAAGAUAAUUAUUUGAAUUUUAUUUUUAAGUUAAAAAGCUUAAAUUUAUUUAAUAGACGAGAAGACCCUAUAGAGUUUUAUAUUAAUUUAUAUUUUUUUAUUUAAGUAUUAUGAUAUUUAAAUUAGAUUUUAUUAUUUAGUUGGGGUGACUGAAAAAUUUAUUAAACUUUUUUUUUAUAGUAUAUUUGUAAAUAGGUUUUUGAUUUAUUGUUUAUAAUUAAAAGAUUAAAUUACCUUAGGGAUAACAGCGUAAUUUUCUUUAAGAGUUCUAAUCGAAAAGAGAGUUUGCGACCUCGAUGUUGGAUUAAAAUAUAUUCUUGGCGGAGAAGCUGAGGUAGUUAGUCUGUUCGACUAUUAAAAUUUUACAUGAUCUGAGUUUAAAUCGGCGUGAGCCAGGUUGGUUUCUAUCUUUAAUAAGUUAAUAUAUUUUAGUACGAAAGGACCAAAUAUGUGUUAAAUUAAUUAAAAUUGAAUAUUAUUAAUUAA
rnacentral:rRNA from 1 species